rnacentral:rRNA from 1 species
CCCUUAGAUGUCCGGGGCUGCACGCGCGCUACACUGAAGGAAUCAGCGUGCUAAAACCAUUGUCGAAAGGCAUUGGUAAACCCAUUAAAAUCCUACGUGAUUGGGAUCGGGAAUUGCAAUUAUUUCCCUUGAACGAGGAAUUCCCAGUAAGUGUGGGUCAUAAGCUCGCGUUGAUUACGUCCCUGCCCUUUGUACACACCGCCCGUCGCUGCCCGGGACUGAGCCGUUUCGAGAAAAGCGGGGACUGCUGCUGUCGGGGCUUUCGGGUCUUGGCUUCGGUGGAAACCGCUUUAAUCGCAGUGGCUUGAACCGGGCAAAAGUCGUAACA